UACGGAGGGUGCAAGCGUUAAUCGGAAUUACUGGGCGUAAAGCGUGCGUAGGCGGUUCGUUAAGUCUGUUGUGAAAGCCCCGGGCUCAACCUGGGAAUGGCAAUGGAUACUGGCGAGCUAGAGUGUGUCAGGGGAUGGUGGAAUUCCCGGUGUAGUGGUGAAAUGCGUAGAGAUCGGGAGGAACAUCAGUGGCGAAGGCGGCCAUCUGGGACAACACUGACGCUGAGGCACGAAAGCGUGGGGAGCAAACAGG
rnacentral:rRNA from 1 species